rnacentral:rRNA from 1 species
AUUGAACGCUGGCGGCAGGCCUAACACAUGCAAGUCGAACGAGUGGCGGACGGGUGAGUAAUGUCUGGGAAACUGCCAGAUGGCGGGGGAUAACUACUGGAAACGGUAGCUAAUACCGCAUACCAUCGGAUGUGCCCAGAUGGGAUUAGCUAGUAGGUGGGGUAACGGCUCACCUAGGCGACGAUCCCUAGCUGGUCUGAGAGGAGGACCAGCCACACGGGGACUGAGACACGGGCCAGACUCCUACGGGAGGCAGCAGUGGGGAAUAUUGCACAAUGGGGGCAAGCCUGAUGCAGCCAUGCCGCGUGUAUGAAGAAGCCCGUCGGGUUGUAAAGUAAUUUCAGCGAGGAGGCGUUACUCGCAGAAGAAGCACCGGCUAACUCCGUGCCAGCAGCCGCGGUAAUUC